CAAGGGGCCUCCGUGUGCCAAAAAUAGGCCGCGGGCAAAGCCGCGCCCAAAAUUAACCGCCCGAAGGCCGGGGCGCCAAGUUCGUCCAGCGGAAAAAGGCCACAAAAACGGGUGGGCUAUAGCCUUGGGGGGUGGGGCUGGCCAACUUCGUCCGCCGGACUCGGAAUGCCGUGAGACUUUGCGAGGGGCCUCCGUGUGCCAAAAAUAGGCCGUGGACAAAGCCCCGUCCGAAGGCCGGCGCGCCAAGUUCGUCAAGCGGAAAAAGGCCACAAAAACGGGUGGGCUAUAGCCUUGGGGGGUGGGGCUGGCCAACUUCGUCCGCCGGACUCGGAAUGCCGCGAGACUUUGCGAGGGGCCUCCGUGUGCCAAAAAUAGGCUGCGGACAAAGCCGCGCCCAAAAAUAACCGCCCGAAGGCCGGGGCGCCAAGUUCGUCCAGCGGAAAAAGGCCACAAAAACGGGUGGGCUAUAGCCUUGGGGGGUGGGGCUGGCCAACUUCGUCCGCCGGACUCGGAAUGCCGCGAGAAUUUGCGAGGGGCCUCCGUGUGCCAAAAAUAGGCCGCGGACAAAGCCGCGCCCAAAAAAUACCGCCCGAAGGCCGGGGCGCCAAGUUCGUCCAGCGGAAAAAGGCCACAAAAACGGGUGGGCUAUAGCCUUGGGGGGUGGGGCUGGCCGACUUCGUCCGCCGGACUCGGAAUGCCGCGGGACUUUGCGAGGGGCCUCCGAGUGCCAAAAAUAGGCCGCGGGCAAAGCCGCGCCCAAAAAUAACCGCCCGAAGGCCGGGGCGCCAAGUUCGUCCAGCGGAAAAAGGCCACAAAAACGGGUGGGCUAUAGCCUUGGGGGGUGGGGCUGGCCAACUUUGUCCGCCGGACUCGGAAUGCCGCGUGACUUUGCAAGGGGCCUCCGUGUGCCAAAAAUAGGCCGCGGACAAAGCCGCGCCCAAAAUUAACCGCCCGAAGGCCGGGGCGCCAAGUUCGUCCAGCGGAAAAAGGCCACAAAAACGGGUGGGCUAUAGCCUGGGGGGUGGGGCUGGCCAACUUCAUCCGCCGGACUCGGAAUGCCGCGAGACUUUGCGAGGGGCCUCCGUGUGCCAAAAAUAGGCCGCGGGCAAAGCCACUCCCAAAAAUAACCGGUCGAAGGCCGGGGCGCCAAGUUCGUCCAGCGGAAAAAGGCCACAAAAACGGGUGGGCUAUGGCCUUGGGGGGUGGGGCUGGCCAACUUCGUCCGCCGGACUCGGAAUGGCGUGAGACUUUACGAGGGGCCUCCGUGUGCCUAAAAUAGGCCCCGGCCGAAGCCGCGGCCAAAAAUAACCACCUGACGGCCGGGGCACGAAGUUCGUCCAGCGGAAAAAGGCCACAAAAACGGGUGGGCUAUAGCCUUGGGGGGUGGCGCUGGCCAACUUCGUCCGCCGGACUCAGAAUGCCGCGACACUUUGUGAGGGGCCUCCGGGUGCCAAAAAUAGGCCGUCGGCAAAGCCGCACCCAAAAAUAACCGCCCGACGGCCGGGGCGCCAAGUUCAUCCAGCGGAAAAAGUCCACAAAAACGGGUGGGCUAUAGCCUUGGGGGGUGGGGCUGGCCAACUUCGUCUGCCGGACUCGGAAUGCCGCGAGACUUUGCGAGGGGCCUCUGUGUGCCAAAAAUAGGCCGCGGGCAAAGCCGCGCCCAAAAAUAACCCCCCGAAGGCCGGUCGCCAAGUUCGUCCAGCGGAAAAUGGCCGCAAAAACGGGUGGUGUCAUGACCCAACCCAGACCUGGCAAGAUAUUGUCCGCUUUGGGCCUUAACAAGGCCCGCACGGAUUUGUUCUUGGGGCGCCCAUACACCCCAACACGCGUCUUGCCAAUUAAGGUGUGGAUCACCCCUUAUAAACCCAGCAUCUCUCCCGUGCUUUGCCGAUGUGGGAUUCGCCUAGGGUGUUACAUACACCCCCCCCUUGGGGACUCAGCCUUCUUGCUGAGGAUUGCCCCACCAUCGCUCAAGAGGACACGCGGAGCCGCUCUGAUACCAUAAUGUCAUGACCCAACCCAGACCUGGCAAGAUAUUGUCCGCUUUGGGCCUUAACAAGGCCCGCACGGAUUUGUUCUUGGGGCACCCAUACACCCCCUAACGCGUCUUGCCAUUUAAGGUGUGGAUCACCCCUUAUAAACCCAGCAUCUCUCCCGUGCUUUGCCGAUGUGGGAGUCGCCUAGGGUGUUACAUACACCCCCCCUUUGGGGACUCAGCGUCCUCGCUGAGGUUUGCCCCACCAUCGCUCAAGAGGACACGCGGAGCCGCUCUGAUACCACAAUGUCAUGACCCAACCCAGACUUGACAAGAUAUUGUCCGCUUUGGGACUUAACAAGGCCCGCACGGAUUUGUUCUUGGGGGGCACAUACACCCCAAAACGCGUCUUGCCAAUUAAGGUGUGGAUCACCCCUUAUAAACCCAGCAUCUACAAUGUCAUGGCCCAACCCAGACCUGACAAGAUAUUGUCCGCUUUGGGCCAUAACAAGGCCCGCACGGAUUUGUUCUUGGGGCGCCCAUACACAAAAAAAUGCGUCUUGCCAAUUAAGGUGUGGAUCACCCCUUAUAAACCCAGCAGCUCUCCCGUGCUUUGCCGAUGUGGGAUUCGCCUAGGGUGUUACAUACACCCCCCCUUUGGGGACUCAGCGUCCUCGCUGAGGUUUGCCCCACCAUCGCUCAAGAGGACACGCGGAGCCGCUCCGAUACCACAAUGUCAUGACCCAACCCAGACCUGACAAGAUAUUGUCCGCUUUGGGCCUUAACAAGGGCCGCACGGAUUUGUUCUUGGGGCGCCCAUACACCCCAAAACGCGUCUUGCCAAUUAAAGUGUGGAUCACCACUUAUAAACCCAGCAUCUCUCCCGUGCUUUGCCGAUGUGGGAUUCGCCUAGGGUGUUACAAGUGGGCUAUAGCUUUGGGGGGUGGGGCUGGCCAACUUCGUCCGCCGGAUUCGGAAUACCGCGAGACUUUGCGAGGGGCCUCUGUGUGCCAAAAAUAGGCCGCGGGCAAAGCCGCGCCCAAAAAUAACCCCCCGAAGGCCGGGGCGCCAAGUUCGUCCAGCGGAAAAAGGCCACAAAAACGGGUGGGCUAUAGCCUUGGGGGGUGGGGCUGGCCGAAUUCAUCCGCCGGACUCGGAAUGCCGCGAGACUUUGCGAGGGGCCUCCGUGUGCCAAAAAUAGGCCGCGGGCAAAGCCGCGCCCAAAAAUAACCCCCCGAAGGCCGGAACGCCAAGUUCGUCCGGCGGAAAAAGGCCACAAAAACGGGUGGGCGAUAGCCUUGGGGGGUGGGGCUGGCCGAAUUCAUCCGCCGGACUCGGAAUGCCGCGAGACUUUGCGAGGGGCCUCCGUGUGCCAAAAAUAGGCCGCGGACAAAGCCGCGCCAAAAAAUAACCGCCCGAAGGCCGGGGCGCCAAGUUCGUCCAGCGGAAAAAGGCCACUAAAACGGGUGGGCUAUAGCCGUGGGGGGUGGGGCUGGCGCACUUCGUCCGCCAGACUCGGAAUGCCGCGAGACUUUGCGAGGGGCCUCCGUGUGCCAAAAAUAGGCCACGGGAAAAGCCGCUCCCAAAAAUAACCGCUCGAAGGCCGGGGCGCCAAGUUCGUCCAGCGGAAAAAGGCCACAAAAACGGGUGGGCUAUAGCCUUGGGGGGUGGGGCUGGCCAACUUCGUCCGACGGACUCGGAAUGCCGCGAGACUUUGUGAGGGGCCUCUGUGUGGCAAAAAUAGGCCACGGGCAAAGCCGCGCCCAAAAAUAACCGCCCGAGGGCCGGGGCGCCAAGUUCGUCCAGCGGAAAAAGGCUACAAAAACGGGUGGGCUAUAGCCUUGGGGGGUGGGGCUGGCCAACUUCGUCCGCCGGACUCGGAAUGCCGCGAGACUUUGCGAGGGGCCUCCGUGUGCCAAAAAUAGGCCGCGGGCAAAGUCGCGCCCAAAAAUAACCCCCCGAAGGCUGGGGCGCCAAGUUCGUCCAGCGGAAAAAGGCCACAAAAACGGGUGGGCUAUAGCCUUGGGGGGUGGGGCUGGCCGAAUUCGUCCAGCGGGAAAAGGCCACAAAAACGGGUGGGCUAUAGCCUUGGGGGGUGGGGCUUGGCAACUUCGUCCGCCGGACUCGGAAUGCCGCGAGACUUUACGAGGGGUCUCCGUGUGCCAAAAAUAGGCCGCGGGCAAAGCCGCGCCCAAAAAUAACUGCCCGAAGGCCGGGGCGCCAAGUUCGUCCAGCGGAAAAAUGCCACAAAAACGGGUGGGCUAUAGCCUAGGGGGGUGAUGCUGGCCAACUUCGUCCGCCGGACUCGGAAUGCCGCGAGACUUUGUGAGGGGCCUCCGCGUGCUAAAAAAAGGCCGCGGGUAAAGCCGCACCCAAAAUUAACCGCCCGACGGCCGGGGCGCCAAGUUCGUCCAGCGGAAAAAGGCCACAAAAACGGGUGGGCUAUAGCCUUGGGGGGUGAUGCUGGCCAACUUCGUCUUCCGGACUCGAAAUGCCGCGAGACUUUGCGAGGGGCCUCCGCAUGCCAAAAAAAGGCCGCGGGCAAAGUCGCGCCCAAAAUUAACCGCCCGAAGGCCGGGGCGCCAAGUUCGUCCAGUGGAAAAAGGCCACAAAAACGGGUGGGCUAUAGCCUUGGGGGGUGGGGCUGGCCAACUUCAUCCGCCGGACUCGCAAUGCCGCGAGACUUUGCGAGGGGCCUCCGUGUGCCAAAAAUAGGCCGCGGGCGAUGCCACACCCAAAAAUAACCGCCCGACGGCCGGGGCGCCAAGUUCGUCCAGCGGAAAAAGGCCACAAAAACGGGUGGGCUAUAGCCUUGGGGGGUGAUGCUGGCCAACUUCGUCCGCCGGACUCGGAAUGCCGCGAGACUUUGCGAGGGGCCUCCGUGUGCCAAAAAUAGGCCAGUGCCAAAAAUAGGCCACGGCCAAAGCCGCGCCCAAAAUUAACCGCCCCAAGGCCGGGGCGCCAAGUUCGUCCAGCGGAAAAAGGCCACAAAAACGGGUGGCCUAUAGCCUUGGGGGGUGGGGCUGGCCGACUUCGUCCGACGGACUCGGAAUGCCGUGAGAGUUUACGAGGGGCCUCCGUGUGCCAAAAAUAGGCCACGGGCAAAGCCGCGCCCAAAAAUAACCGCCCGACGGCCGGGGCGCCAAGUUCGUCCUGCGGAAAAAGGCCACAAAAACGGGUGGGCUAUAGCCUUGGGGGGUGAUGCUGGCCAACUUCGUCCGCCGGACUCGGAAUGCCGCGAGACUUUGCGAGGGGCCUCCUUGUGCCUAAACUAGGCCGCGGGCAAAGCCACGCCAAAAAUUAACCACCCGAAGGCCGGGGCGCCAAGUUCGUCCAGCGGAAAAAGGCCACGAAAACGGGUGGCCUAUAGCCUUGGGGGGUGGGGCUGGCCAACUUCGUCCGCCGGACUCGGAAUGCCGCUAGACUUUGCGAGGGGCCUCCAUGUGCCAAAACUAGGCCUCGGGCAAAGCCGCACCCAAAAUUAACCGCCCGAAGGCCGGGGCACCAAGUUCGUCCAGCGGAAAAAGGCCACAAAAACGGGUGGGCUAUAGCCUUGGCGGGUGAUGCUGGCAAACUUCGUCCGCAGGACUCGGAAUGCCGCGAGACUUUGCGAGGGGCCUCCGCGUGCCAAAAAUAAGCCGCGGACGAAGCCGCGCCCAAAAUUAACCGCCCGAAGGCCGCGGCGCCAAGUUCGUCCAGCGGAAAAAGGCCACAAAAACGGGUGGCCUAUAGCCUUGGGGGGUGGGGCUGGCCAACUUCGUCCGCCGGACUCGGAAUGCCGCGAGACUUUGCGAGGGGCCUCCGUGUGCCAAAAAUAGGCUGCGGGCAAAGCCGCGCCCAAAAUUAACCGCCCGAAGGCCGGGGCGCCAACUUCGUCCAGCGGAAAAAGGCCACAAAAACGGGUGGGCUUAGCCUUGGGGGGUGAUGCUGGCCAACUUCGUCCGCAGGACUCGGAAUGCCGCGAGACUUUGCGAGGGGCCUCCGUGUGCUAAAAAUAGGCCGUGGGNNNNNNNNNNNNNNNNNNNNNNNNNNNNNNNNNNNNNNNNNNNNNNNNNNNNNNNNNNNNNNNNNNNNNNNNNNNNNNNNNNNNNNNNNNNNNNNNNNNNNNNNNNNNNNNNNNNNNNNNNNNNNNNNNNNNNNNNNNNNNNNNNNNNNNNNNNNNNNNNNNNNNNNNNNNNNNNNNNNNNNNNNNNNNNNNNNNNNNNNNNNNNNNNNNNNNNNNNNNNNNNNNNNNNNNNNNNNNNNNNNNNGCCACAAAACAAGUGGGCUAUAGCUUGGGGGUUGAUGCUGGCCAAACUCGUCCUCCGGACUCGGAAUGCCGCGAGACUUGCGAGGGGCCUCCGCGUGCCAAAAAUAGGCCGCGGGUAAAGCCGCGCCCCAAAAUAACCGCCCGACGGCCGGGGCGCCAAGUUCGUCCAGCGGAAAAAGGCCACAAAAACGGGCGGGCUAUAGCCUAGGGGGGUGAUGCUGGCCAUCUUCGUCCGCCGGACUUCGAAUGCCGCGAGACUUUGCGAGGGGCCUCUGUGUGGCAACAAUAGACCGUGGGCAAAGCCGCGCCCAAAUUAACCGCCCGAAGGCCGGGGCGCCAAGUUCGUCCAGCGGAAAAAGGCCUCAAAAACGGGUGGGCAAUAGCCUUGGGGAGUGAUGCUUGGCCACUUCGUCCGCCGGACUCGGAAUGCCGCGAGACUUUCCGAGGGGCCUCCAUGUGCAAAAAAUAGGCCGUGGGUGAAGCCACACCCAAAAAUAACCGCCCGACGGCCGGGGCGCCAAGUUCGUCCAGCGGAAAAAGGCCACAGAAACGGGUGGGCUAUAGCCUUGGGGGGUGAUGCUGGCCAACUUCGUCCUCCGGACUCGGAAUGCCGCGAGAUUUGCGAGGGGCCUCCGCGUGCCAAAAAUAAGCCGCGGGCAAAGCCGCGUCCAAAAUUAACCGCCCAAAGGCCGCGGCGCCAGUUCGUCCAGAGGAAAAAGGCCACAAAAACGGGUGGGCUAUAGCCUUGGGGGGUGGCGCUGGCCAACUUCGUCCGCCGGACUCGGAAUGCCGCGACACUUUGCGAGGGGCCUCCGUGUACCAAAAAUAGGCCGUGGGCAAAGCCGCGCCCAAAAUUAACUGCCCGAAGGCCGGGGCGCCAAGUUCGUCCAGCGGAAAAAGGCCACAAAAACGGGUGGGCAAUAGCCUUGGGGAGUGAUGCAGGCCAACUUCGUCCGCCGGACUCAGAAUGCCGCGAGACUUUGCGAGGGGCCUCCGUGUGCCAAAAAUAGGCCACAGGCGAAGCCACGCCCAAAAUUAACCGCCCGAAGGCCGGGGCGCCAUGUUCGUCCAGCGGAAAAAGGCCACAAAAACGGGUGGGCUAUAGCCUUGGGGGGUGAUGCUGGCCAACUUCGUCCGCCGGACUCGGAAUGCCGCGAGAC
rnacentral:lncRNA from 1 species